GCCUUCGCCGUGUAGUGGUCAGCACGCUCGACGCGUAACCGAGAGGUCCGUGGUUCGAUUCCCGGCGAAGGCG
rnacentral:tRNA from 1 species